AGAGUUUGAUCCUGGCUCAGGAUGAACGCUAGCUACAGGCUUAACACAUGCAAGUCGAGGGGCAGCAUGAAUAUUGGCUUGCCAAUAUUUGAUGGCGACCGGCGCACGGGUGAGUAACACGUAUCCAACCUUCCGGUUACUCGGGGAUAGGCUUUCGAAAGAAAGAUUAAUACCCGAUGUUGUGUAUCUUUCUCCUGAUUGAUACGCCAAAGGAUUCCGGUAACCGAUGGGGAUGCGUUCCAUUAGGCAGUUGGCGGGGUAACGGCCCACCAAACCUUCGAUGGAUAGGGGUUCUGAGAGGAAGGUCCCCCACAUUGGAACUGAGACACGGUCCAAACUCCUACGGGAGGCAGCAGUGAGGAAUAUUGGUCAAUGGACGGAAGUCUGAACCAGCCAAGUAGCGUGAAGGAUGACUGCCCUCUGGGUUGUAAACUUCUUUUAUACGGGAAUAACAUGAGGUACGGGUACCUUAUUGCAUGUACCGUUAUGAAUAAGCAUCGGCUAACUCCGUGCCAGCAGCCGCGGUAAUACGGAGGAUGCGAGCGUUAUCCGGAUUUAUUGGGUUUAAAGGGAGCGUAGGUGGGAUAUUAAGUCAGCUGUGAAAGUUUGGGGCUCAACCUUAAAAUUGCAGUUGAUACUGGUUUUCUUGAGUACGGUAUAGGUGGGCGGAAUUCGUGGUGUAGCGGUGAAAUGCUUAGAUAUCACGAAGAACUCCUAUUGCGAAGGCAGCUCACUGGACCGGCACUGACACUGAUGCUCGAAAGUGCGGGUAUCAAACAGGAUUAGAUACCCUGGUAGUCCGCACAGUAAACGAUGAAUACUCGCUGUUUGCGAUACACAGUAAGCGGCCAAGCGAAAGCGUUAAGUAUUCCACCUGGGGAGUACGCCGGCAACGGUGAAACUCAAAGGAAUUGACGGGGGCCCGCACAAGCGGAGGAACAUGUGGUUUAAUUCGAUGAUACGCGAGGAACCUUACCCGGGCUUAAAUUGCGCUGGCUUUUACCGGAAACGGUAUUUUCUUCGGACCAGCGUGAAGGUGCUGCAUGGUUGUCGUCAGCUCGUGCCGUGAGGUGUCGGCUUAAGUGCCAUAACGAGCGCAACCCUUAUCUUUAGUUGCCAUCAGGUUUUGCUGGGGACUCUAAAGAGACUGCCGUCGUAAGAUGCGAGGAAGGUGGGGAUGACGUCAAAUCAGCACGGCCCUUACGUCCGGGGCUACACACGUGUUACAAUGGGGAGCACAGCAGGUUGCUACACGGCGACGUGAUGCCAAUCCGUAAAACUCCUCUCAGUUCGGAUCGAAGUCUGCAACCCGACUUCGUGAAGCUGGAUUCGCUAGUAAUCGCGCAUCAGCCACGGCGCGGUGAAUACGUUCCCGGGCCUUGUACACACCGCCCGUCAAGCCAUGAAAGCCGGGGGUACCUGAAGUACGUAACCGCAAGGAUCGUCCUUAGUAAAC
rnacentral:rRNA from 2 species